rnacentral:rRNA from 1 species
GACGAACGCUGGCGGCGUGCUUAACACAUGCAAGUCGAACGGAAAGGCCCUGCUUUUGUGGGGUGCUCGAGUGGCGAACGGGUGAGUAACACGUGAGUAACCUGCCCUUGACUUUGGGAUAACUUCAGGAAACUGGGGCUAAUACCGGAUAGGAGCUCCUGCUGCAUGGUGGGGGUUGGAAAGUUUCGGCGGUUGGGGAUGGACUCGCGGCUUAUCAGCUUGUUGGUGGGGUAGUGGCUUACCAAGGCUUUGACGGGUAGCCGGCCUGCGAGGGUGACCGGCCAAAUUGGGACUGAGAUACGGCCCAGACUCCUACGGGAGGCAGCAGUGGGGAAUAUUGCACAAUGGGCGGAAGCCUGAUGCAGCAACGCCGCGUGCGGGAUGACGGCCUUCGGGUUGUAAACCGCUUUCGCCUGUGACGAAGCGUGAGUGACGGUAAUGGGUAAAGAAGCACCGGCUAACUACGUG